AGUGAACGCUGGCGGUAGGCCUAACACAUGCAAGUCGAACGGCAGCACAGUAAGCGCUUGCUCUUACGGUUGGCGAGUGGCGGACGGGUGAGGAAUACAUCGGAAUCUACUUUUUCGUGGGUGAUAACGUAGGGAAACUUACGCUAAUACCGCAUACGACCUACCGGUGAAAGCAGGGGAUCUUCAGACCUUGCGCGAUUGAAUGAGCCGAUGUCGGAUUAGCUAGUUGGCGGGGUAAAGGCCCACCAAGGCGACGAUCCGUAGCUGGUCUGAGAGGAUGAUCAGCCACACUGGAACUGAGACACGGUCCAGACUCCUACGGGAGGCAGCAGUAGGGAAUAUUGGGCAAUGGGCGAAAGCCUGACGCAGCCAUACCGCGUGAGUGAAGAAGGCCUUCGGGUUGUAAAGCCCUUUUGUUGGGAAAGAAAAGCAGCAGAUUAAUACAUCGCUGUUUUGACGGUACCCAAAGAGAAAGCAACGGCUAACUUCGUG
rnacentral:rRNA from 1 species